rnacentral:rRNA from 1 species
GGAGGAGAAGAAACUUACGAGGAUUCUCCAGUAACGGCGAGCGAAUCAGGAGAAGCCUAUCUUGGGAAUCGGGUGGCUGUGCCGUCCGAAUUAUAGUUUGGAGAAGCAUCCUCAAUGAUGGACCAGGCUCAAGUCCCGUGGAAAGGCGCACCAGGGAAGGUAAGAGCCCCGUCUGGCUCAGACCCUGUCGCACCAUGAGGCACUAUCGGCGAGUCAGGUUGUUUGGGAAUGCAGCCCUAAUUAGGUGGUAAAUUCUGUCCAAGGCUAAAUAGCGGCGAGAGACUGAUAGCGAACAAGUAUUGCGAGGGAAAGAUGAAAAGAACUUUGGAAAAAGAGUCAAAGAGUGCUUAAAAUUAUUAAGAGGGAAGCAGAUGGGGGCCGACGAUGCAUGCCAGUUGGAUGCGGAAUGACCCUUAUCGGGGCUGGUCCGCUGCUCGACUCGGCGUGUGGACUAUUAUGGGCCGCAUCGGAGGCUUAAGCCUGGGUGGUCGAUCCCACCCGUGGAUAUGCCAUCACCAUAGCCAAGGAAGUAGAGCAUGCCACCUCAGCACGCCCCUUUGGGGGCACCAGCGCGCUCUUGGCACUAGCCUAUAGGCUCCCCAUCUGACCUAUCUUGAAACACGGACCAAGGAGUAUGACAUGUAUACGAGCCGAUGGGCGUGAAAACCUAGAAGGCAAAAGGAAGUUGAUGGGUGGGAUCCCUCUUGCAGGGUGCACUACUGACCGACCCUAAUCUUCUGUAAAGGGUUCAAGUGGGAGCAUACCUAUCGGGACCCAAAAGAUGGUAAACUAUGCCUGAGCAGGGCAAAGCUAGAGGAAACUCUAUUGAAGGCCUGCUACAAUACUGACAUGCAAAUUAUUUAUCUAACUUGGGUAUAGGGGCAAAAGACUAAUCGAACUAUCUAGUAGCUGGUUCCCUCUGAAGUUUCCCCCAGGAUAGCUGAAGCUCGCGUGCAAGUUCUAUCAGGUAAAGCCAAUGAUUAGAGGCAUCGGGGGUGCAAUGCCUUUGACCUAUUCUUAAACUUUAAAUAGGUAGGACGGCACAGCUACUUGGGUGAGCUGUGCCAUGAAAUCAAGAGCUCCAAAUAGGCUAUUUUUGGUAAGUAGAACUAGCAAUACGGGAUGAACUGGAAGCCAGGUUACGAUGCCCAACUACGUGCUAACCUAGAACUCACAAAGGGUGUUGGUCAAUUAAGAUAGUAGGAUGGUAGUCAUGGAAGUCCAAAUCCACUAAGAAGUGUGUAACAACUCAUCCUG